AGCGAACGCUGGCGGCAGGCCUAACACAUGCAAGUCGAACGGAUCCUUCGGGAUUAGUGGCGGACGGGUGAGUAACACGUGGGAACGUGCCCUUUGGUUCGGAACAACUCAGGGAAACUUGAGCUAAUACCGGAUGUGCCCUUCGGGGGAAAGAUUUAUCGCCAUUGGAGCGGCCCGCGUCUGAUUAGCUAGUUGGUGAGGUAACGGCCCACCAAGGCGACGAUCAGUAGCUGGUCUGAGAGGAUGAUCAGCCACACUGGGACUGAGACACGGCCCAGACUCCUACGGGAGGCAGCAGUGGGGUAUCUUGCGCAAUGGGCGAAAGCCUGACGCAGCCAUGCCGCGUGAAUGAUGAAGGUCUUAGGAUUGUAAAAUUCUUUCAGCGGGGACGAUAAUGACGGUACCCGCAGAAGAAGCUCCGGCUAACUUCGUG
rnacentral:rRNA from 1 species